AAUCAACGCUGGCGGCGUGCCUAACACAUGCAAGUCGCACGAGAAAGUGGAGCAAUCCAUGAGUAAAGUGGCGCACGGGUGAGUAACACGUGAAUAAUCUACCUCCGAGUGGGGAAUAACUGAGAGAAAUCUUAGCUAAUACCGCAUAACACUUACGAGUCAAAGCAGCAAUGCGCUUGGAGAGGAGUUCGCGGCCGAUUAGUUAGUUGGCGGGGUAAUGGCCCACCAAGACGAUGAUCGGUAUCCGGCCUGAGAGGGCGCACGGACACACUGGAACUGAAACACGGUCCAGACUCCUACGGGAGGCAGCAGUGGGGAAUUUUGCGCAAUGGGGGAAACCCUGACGCAGCAACGCCGCGUGGAGGAUGAAAUCCCUUGGGAUGUAAACUCCUUUCGAUAGGGAAGAUAAUGACGGUACCUAUAGAAGAAGCCCCGGCUAACUUCGUGCCAGCAGCCGCGGUAAUACGAAGGGGGCAAGCGUUGUUCGGAAUUAUUGGGCGUAAAGGGUGCGUAGGCGGUUUGACAAGUCUGAUGUGAAAUCUAUGGGCUCAACCCAUAGUCUGCAUCGGAAACUGUCG
rnacentral:rRNA from 1 species